UACGAAGGGGGCUAGCGUUGUUCGGAAUUACUGGGCGUAAAGCGCACGUAGGCGGAUAUUUAAGUCAGGGGUGAAAUCCCAGAGCUCAACUCCAGAACUGCCUUUGAUUACUGAGAUCUUGAGUUCGGGAGAGGUGAGUGGAACUGCGAGUGUAGAGGUGAAAUUCGUAGAUAUUCGCAAGAACACCAGUGGCGAAGGCGGCUCACUGGCCCGGUACUGACGCUGAGGUGCGAAAGCGUGGGGAGCAAACAGGG
rnacentral:rRNA from 1 species